ensembl:lncRNA
CUCAGCCUGCACUCCAGAUCAGGCCAUGCUCUCAGCUACCAUAUUCCUUUGAUGGCAUUUGGAGGCUGCUGGUGCCCAGCAUCAAUUAGAGCAAAGAGGGCAAUAAGGGCAGCAGGAGCUCCCUUUGCUUCAGGGGUGUCUCCAGGAGUGGAUGUGCAGAGCAGGUGUGUUCAAUUUGUGCCUGAAGUUGUUGUGUUGUUGAGUUGGUACAAUGGAAUAAAAGUUGAAAUGCUCUGGGUAAAGUGCUGCAGAAGACUGCCAGUGGUAUUUUUUUUAGUUUGUUGAGUAGGUAUGAAUUGUAGGUAGGUAGGAAGGGUGUGCAAGCUUUUUUCAGCCUAAGUUUAAUGCAACAGCUGUGCUGCAUUAGCUUUGCUCUGUAGGCACCUGUGAGCUGCUGGGAGGGGCUGUGAAGCUGUGCCACUGCCUUAAAGGUGCAGGAAGGGUGGGCUUUGUGGUGUGAAUCUCUUUCUCUUCUCCAGGUCUGUGAUGUGAGUUGAGAUGUCCUAUCUGCAAGUUCCCCCCAGCUGCGUGAGCUUGCAGAAGAACCAGUUCUGCUCAGCUUUGGCUUUUGAAGAGAAGAAAUGAUUGCUGGAGAAGCUCAGCUGGGCAGCAGGCUGCUGCAUUGGGCUGCUGCGUUGGGCACGGUGUAGGAAAUGAAACACACCACUGUGUGGGAUUGCUGCCCUGGGCGAUGGGAGAACUUGGCUUUAAAAGAAAAGCAGAGAUUUCUUUUCCCCCAUCCAUUUGUGCAGAAAAAACCCUCUGAGCGGGGUGUGAUUUCCUCCCUUGACUGAGAUCACCUGCCUCUGGCUCUCAGCUACCACCAGCCCAGGUGUCCAAAAUAAGAUGUGGGUACUCAUUGUGGUUGCUGGGCAAAGCUUGCUCUUCCUCAGACCCAGCCCAGGAGUAUGUUGGGGUGUGGUGUGGUGCAGAGGGUGCCCUGUAACACGUGGGCACUUUGGGCUGGAGGGCUGGGAGCAGCCUGUGGGAUGGGAAGGAGUACACAGCCAUGGACGACCUCAAUGGGACAGAAGGCCUCCCAGACCCUGCAGUGAGGAGAAUGAGCUCAAGCUGGAGGAAGGGCAGCUCUCACCUGCAGAUGCCUCCUCUGAAAAGAAGGGUGCCCCAAGAGUAGGGCCUAAAAUGGGUGAAUCUGCCACUAACUGUCCAUUCCCCAGAGGUAUCAGAAAGAAGUCAGGAUUUUGUUUUCUUUCUGCUUUCAAACUCCAUUGGGAUUUUGUGUGUAGCCCCACUAAGUUAAUGAACACAGAUGGGUGCCAAUAGGAGUUUAUUUUGUGGCUAGGGAUUCAGGAAGAGCUCCAGAGCAGACAAUCCUCCCACCAUUUGCAUUGAAUCAUAGGCUCUUAGAGCCAUUAUGGUUGGAAAAGACCUCUAAGAUCAUCCAGUCCAACCCAGCCCACCCCCACCAUGCCCACUGACCACGUCCCUCAGUGCCACAUCUCUAAGGACGGUGACUCCACCACCUCCAUCACCACUCUUUCUGAGAAGAAGUAUUUCCUCAUAUCCAGGCUGAACGCUGACCUGCAUGGAGCCACCACAUCUUCAGCAGCUCUCCUACUGCAGCUUCUUUUUGUAAUGAAAAACUAUGGGAUUUGCAAAGGAAGAUGAGACUGUCUUCUAUCUGAGCAACAUACUGUAGCAAAUCUGUGGUAGCUCAGUGUUCACCAAGUGGAGAGCACCAGGGCUCCCAGACAGGAGGAUGGAGCUCACUACAUCAAGCACAGCAAGCCAGGAGCUUCUUGAAUUGCUUCUGUUCUGCUGAGACUGGAAUUUUUUGGAGGCUCACCUGUGCUGACAUGACCUUGUGUAGCAGAAAUGCUAAAUCACAGCUUGAAGCAGUGAUUGAGCACCUGGUGGGAAGGCAUGGCCAACCCAGGGGAGCUCAGGUGUGUGCAAUGCAGCUGAGUGACCGGAAUGGGUGAAGCCAGGAUCCACCCCUUUCCAGACCUCAUUUAAGGGUUGGCAGUGAAGGCAAGGACAUCUUGCUGGAGAUCCCUGCGUAUCUGAGGCCUUUUGAAGGUAGAUGCGCAGUACCAAACACAUGGGACCUGAGUUCUGGCCUGGGUUCGCAGCAGUGGGAACCAUGAUGUCAUUACGAGUUGGAAACCUUGUGCAGUGCUCGGCAUGGAACGGGUGGGGGGACUGAUGGGUUAGUCAGCAUGGAGCUGAGGCAGCGACAGAUUUACUGCUCCUUACACUUCCAUACGACUGAGGGAGAGGAAGCCUUGCCCAGCAUGAAGGUAUCCAUCGGGGGUUACAAGGUCAGCAUUCAAGAUGUUGGGUUACGUUCCAGGCCAAAAGCGAAAUGAUGAGUGACAUGGCCCACUGUCAUCGGAAUAUAUCAUCGUGAUCUCGUGCUAUUUCUGAUUGGUGCAGAAGCAGGAAAUUCCAGCAGUCUCCCAAGCAAGCUCUCUCCUCUGGGAUUCUGUCUGUGCUGGCAUCCCUGUCAGGCUGCCUGCGUCUCCCCAAGUGUGUUGGUGAUGGUGGGAGUAAGGAUGGACUUAGAAAGGAGCGAUUGUUCCAACCUGCUGGAAGUGGAGGAAGUGGGAACUGAUGGCUAAUUAACUUAGCACUCAGCACGGCUGCUGUCCCGUGAAAACAGCAACAAGUGUGAUGGAUCCCUACAGAAUUGGCUUUGGUCUGGAAAUGAGAAGAAAUUGACUGUGAGGGAAAAGGUAAAUGACAAGGAAAAAAAUCUUUCUGCAAGGAAAAAACAUGUCGGGGAAAAAGGAAGGAAAGAAGGACCAGUUGUUGCUGUUGUUUCAUGGAUUUCAGUCCUUUCCUUCUAUAGGUAACUCUUUUCUGGGCUGGGGAGUUGUAGCUU